UACGGGGGGAGCAAGCGUUGUUCGGAUUUACUGGGCGUAAAGGGCGCGUAGGCGGUCAGCACAAGUCAGUUGUGAAAUCUCCGGGCUUAACUCGGAAAGGUCAACUGAUACUGUGCGGCUAGAGUGCGUUCGGGGCAGAGGGAAUUCCUGGUGUAGCGGUGAAAUGCGUAGAGAUCAGGAAGAACACCGACGGCGAAGGCAGCUCGCUGGGACGGUACUGACGCUGAGGCGCGAAAGCGUGGGGAGCGAACAGG
rnacentral:rRNA from 1 species